rnacentral:sRNA from 1 species
GCAGUGCGGCUGAGCGCCUCGGAGCCCGCGGGGACGCUGCGGGGGGACCCGUGCUGAGGCGGCGGCGGCGGCGACGUGGGCUGCGGCGGGCCCGCGGCGUCGGGCGGUGCGGAUGUCGGGCUGGGCGGACGAGCGCGGCGGCGAGGGCGACGGGCGCAUCUACGUGGGGAACCUUCCGACCGACGUGCGCGAGAAGGACUUGGAGGACCUGUUCUACAAGUACGGCCGCAUCCGCGAGAUCGAGCUCAAGAACCGGCACGGCCUCGUGCCCUUCGCCUUCGUGCGCUUCGAGGACCCCCGAGAUGCAGAGGAUGCUAUUUAUGGAAGAAAUGGUUAUGAUUAUGGCCAGUGUCGGCUUCGUGUGGAGUUCCCCAGGACUUAUGGAGGUCGGGGUGGGUGGCCCCGUGGUGGGAGGAAUGGGCCUCCUACAAGAAGAUCUGAUUUCCGAGUUCUUGUUUCAGGUAUGUUCCUUUCAAACAGAAUGAGAUGAUACAUGUAAAAUACUUAACACAGAGUCUGUCUUCCAAGAAAUGAUAGUUGUUAUUCUUCAGUGCAUGGGACACGGGGGCUUUCUUUUCAAUAGCCUGUGUGAAGCCUUGCCCUGGAUUGCCAAUGAGGCAAGUAUCCUGCAAAUGAAAUUGUGUUGGGAGUGCAGCCUUGGAAGAACAUAACCAUAUUUCUUGUAAAGGAGUUUUCUAGUGGUGAGAAGGAAAGAUGAUGGGAAAACUCCUUGAGCUACAAUUCUAAAGAUGCUUCUUUUGGAAUAUACUUGGCAUCAGACAUGGUAGAAAGGCAUUCAAGGAGCCAGAUUUGAACAACUUACCCAGACUUGGAUCCUGAAGAAGAUCAGAUUUUGUGGUGGUUUUAGAAUUAAAAUAUUUUUUAAAACCCCGUAACUUAAGAGUCUUAGAGAUUUUAUUGGAAAGUAUAGACUAUUUCUGUCUAGUGUUUAU